AUUGAACGCUGGCGGCAGGCCUAACACAUGCAAGUCGAACGAGUGGCGGACGGGUGAGUAAUGUCUGGGAAACUGCCUGCUGGAGGGUGAUAACUCCUGGAAACGGUAGCUAAUACCGCAUACCACCAGAUGGUCCCAGAUGGGAUUAGCUAGUUGGUGGGGUAACGGCUCACCAAGGCGACGAUCCCUAGCUGUUUUGAGAGGAUGACCAGACAAACUGGAACGGAGACACGGUCCAGACUCCUACGGGAGGCAGCAGUGGGGAAUAUUGCACAAUGGGCGCAAGCCUGAUGCAGCCAUGCCGCGUGUAUGAAGAAGGCCUUCGGGUUGUAAUGUACUUUCAGCGGGGAGGCGUUACCCGCAGAAGAAGCACCGGCUAACUCCGUGCCAGCCGCCGCGGUAAUUC
rnacentral:rRNA from 1 species